ensembl:lncRNA
AACAAAAGUUUAUGAUAUAAAACUACACUAGAAAACUGUUAGGGAAAUAGUCAAUAUUUUUACCUAUCUUGUAGAUUGUACCAAGUAUUUACUCUUUAUAAAGUAUUUCAGAUACUUAAGAUAAAACUGGAAAUACAGGUAAAAGAAUAUAUUAACGAAAGAAGAGAUGAAAUACAACUGAGAUAUGGCAAUAAGGGAAUUUCUGUUAAUGUAAUGAGAAGCUUUUUAGUUUAACUAGGACUAGAAUAUGACUAACUAUGGUGAUUGGUAUACUAUGCGAACAUUUUUAGGAGAUGAGAUUUGCUUGUGUAAAAGCAAACCUAAAGUGGUAAAAGCGGCAUUCAGUUUAAGAUGCCCUAUAGCAUGAAAAUUGGCAUGAUAACACACAUACAGAGAUUGGAAAUAUACCAGAGCCUCUAAAAUUUCAUAUCUUUUUAAAGUGAGGGAAUAGAGAGUAUAAAUUUAAAUGACAGCCUGGGUUAGAAAAUAGCUUAAUGAUUAGAAUGUACCAAAUGAUACAACAGCUGCCUUUUGUCUCAAGGAUAGAGCAUUAAUAGCAAUCAGCAAAUGGUUUCUACGCUUGCAUGAUAUAUAUUAAAUGUUCUAGGACCUCGUGGACCAGUGAAAAUUCCUCAGUGCAUCAGCUGCUUCGGACUUCUGGCUAUCUGCUUCUUUGGGAAAAAAUAAAACCCGGAAGAGGAAAGAGCCUGAUGCUUUGGAGAAUUGCUAACCAUCAUGAUGUACAUGAUGAGGUAGGUGAAGCAGGUUAUAUCACAUUUGAACUCAUUCCAGCAGUGCUGACCCUUUCUCAAACCCAGAUGUUUAAAUGACUGCUCAAUGGGGAUAUUUGGGAUUAUAAAUAUGUCCCAUCUGCUGCUACCGUCUGCUUGCUCUUGAAAUGUGUAAAAAUCACCCAGUGUACUUGGCAUAGCAGCAGUCCUCAUGCAAAGCCACAGGAAAAUUAAAAGGUGAUAAGAAACCUUUCUUGUAGCAAAGCCUUUCGACAUUUGCCUAAAGUGAAUGAAUGAAUGAAGGUAAGGAAAACUACUUUGUUAAUGUGUUAUUGGAUAUAAGUCUAUGAGAAAUAGUUUAUGAUGUAAUUGAGAGAUAUAUCCAUCUAGAGAAUCAUAAACAAAAAUGAAAGCAUAUUUAAAUUUUCAACUCUAGAAACCUGAAG